rnacentral:rRNA from 1 species
UGGGGAAUAUUGGACAAUGGGGGGAACCCUGAUCCAGCCAUGCCGCGUGUGUGAAGAAGGCCUUAUGGUUGUAAAAGCACUUUUAAGCGAGGAGGAGGCUCUUUUGGUUAAUACCCAAGAUGAGUGGACGUUACUCGCAGAAUAAGCACCGGCUAACUCUGUGCCAGCAGCCGCGGUAAAUACAGAGGGUGCGAGCGUUAAUCGGAUUUACUGGGCGUAAAGCGUGCGUAGGCGGCUUUUUUAAGUCGGAAUGUGAAAAUUCCCCGAGCUUAACUUAGGGAAUUUGGCAAUUCGAUACUGGGAAAGCUAGAGUAUGGGAGAGGAUGGUAGAAUUCCAGGUGUAGCGGUGAAAAUGCGUAGAGAUCUGGAGGAAUACCGAUGCGAAGGCAGCCAUCUGGCCUAAUACUGACGCUGAGGUACGAAAAGCAUGGGGAGCAAACA